rnacentral:rRNA from 1 species
CGUGCUUGCACUGAAUGAGAAAUGAACACGAAGUGAGUGGCGGACGGGUGAGUAACACGUGGGUAACCUGCCCAGAAGCAGGGGAUAACACCUGGAAACAGAUGCUAAUACCGUAUAACAGAGAAAACCGCCUGGUUUUCUUUUAAAAGAUGGCUCUGCUAUCACUUCUGGAUGGACCCGCGGCGCAUUAGCUAGUUGGUGAGGUAACGGCUCACCAAGGCGAUGAUGCGUAGCCGACCUGAGAGGGUAAUCGGCCACAUUGGGACUGAGACACGGCCCAGACUCCUACGGGAGGCAGCAGUAGGGAAUCUUCCACAAUGGACGCAAGUCUGAUGGAGCAACGCCGCGUGAGUGAAGAAGGGUUUCGGCUCGUAAAGCUCUGUUGUUAAAGAAGAACGUGGGUGAGAGUAACUGUUCACCCAGUGACGGUAUUUAACCAGAAAGCCACGGCUAACUACGUGCCAGCAGCCGCGGUAAUACGUAGGUGGCAAGCGUUAUCCGGA